rnacentral:rRNA from 1 species
AUUGAACGCUGGCGGCAGGCCUAACACAUGCAAGUCGAGCGAGCGGCGGACGGGUGAGGAAUGUAUGGGGAUCUGCCUGAUAGGGGGGGAUAACUCCUGGAAACGGUGGAUAAUACCGCAUACUAUCGGAUGGACCCAUAUGGGAUUAGCUAGUAGGUGGGGUAAAGGCUCACCUAGGCGACGAUCUCUAGCUGGUCUGAGAGGAUGACCAGCCACAAUGGACCUGAGACACGGCCCAUACGCCAACGGGAGGAAGAAGUGGGGAAUAUUGCACAAUGGGCGCAAGCCGGCUGCAGCCAUGCCGCGUGUAUGAAGAAGGCCUUAGGGUUGUAAAGUACUUUCAGCGGGGAGGCGUUACCCGCAGAAGAAGCACCGGCUAACUCCGUGCAAGCAGCCGAGGUAAUAC